rnacentral:rRNA from 1 species
AACGAACGCUGGCGGCAGGCUUAACACAUGCAAGUCGAGCGCCCCGCAAGGGGAGCGGCAGACGGGUGAGUAACGCGUGGGAAUCUACCCAUCUCUACGGAGUAACGCAUGGAAACGUGUGCUAAUACCGUAUACGUCCGUCGGGAGAAAGAUUUAUCGGAGAUGGAUGAGCCAGCGUUGGAUUAGCUAGUUGGUGGGGUAAAGGCCUACCAAGGCGACGAUCCUUAGCUGGUCUGAGAGGAUGAUCAGCCACACUGGGACUGAGACACGGCCCAGACUCCUACGGGAGGCAGCAGUGGGGAAUAUUGGACAAUGGGCGCAAGCCUGAUCCAGCCAUGCCGCGUGAGUGAUGAAGGCCCUAGGGUUGUAAAGCUCUUUCACCGGUGAAGAUAAUGACGGUAACCGGAGAAGAAGCCCCGGCUAACUUCGUGCCAGCCGCCGCCGUAAAAC